CGUCGGUUCAAGUAUGGAAAAAGCUCCAGAACCCAUCGCAGACCAUCUGUAACUCCAAACGAUGUAGAAAAAGACAAAACUGAAGAGCCAGAUGAAGUAUCCACAGCAAAUGACUAAAUAUGGAAUAAAUGGCAUUUGUAAGCCCAAAGAUGAAACAUAACCUUGGAAACCAAUCCAACAGAAGACAACGAACUGUAACAUAUGAAAUCUGAACAAAUAUCCCAUGAAAGAGAGAAAAACUAUUCUGGAAAUGGGUCAUAAAUAUAUAAUAGAUGGAACAGGACCUACACUGAGUUCCAGGGAUACCACUUACAAUAAUGACUGGUAUCUGUCGACUCCACUUCCAACAUUUUCCAGAUCACCUGCAGUGCACUUUCUUCCACUGACUUCCUCAAUAAAUUUCAUAUUAUUCCUCAACUUGUUACAUGUAAUAAUUAAUCCUUAUCCCAACUACUGUCUCCCCACCAUUGCAUCUCUCUUCUACUUCAAACGUUGAAUCAAAAGGCACUGAUGCCUUAGUUGAUCUAUUUCCUCUUGAUGCUUCUGCAGUUUCUGAUAAUGCAUUACCAUGGUUAAUUUAUCGUAUCUUAGAAUUAAUUAUAGUCCCGUUGUACAUAUUUAGAAUCACUGCUUAAGCCACCCUUACUGUUACUAUAUGCAUUGCCUUUGGUGUUACUGGUCACCCCACAAUAAUUAAUCAUAUACCUGAUAUUGGUGUAAGUCAUUAAGCUACACCCUUUUUAACCUAAAUCUCUAACUGGCAUUUUAAUGUUGGCUUUACAAUAUUUUCAGAGGUACCCUUACACAAAAGUGUGCCUCUGAGUUGGUCUUAGCUCUUUACUGUUUUCCAUCUUCAUCAGCAAAUUUUCAUAUCAUGUUUUAUGUUGACAUUAUGGUUUUAUUACUCUCCAGUUCCUCUGUCCUCACUCAGCAACACCAUUGCCAAACACACUUUAAUUCACUCAUUAACACUGAAAACUCCUUGUAAUUUCUUUCAUGAUUUUUGGUACACAACAAAAAUCCUACACAUCCCCUACAUUUAUAAAAAUUACUGACAACAGCAAUGUAUCCAUUGAAUGCAUCUCCACCUUUAAAUAUCUUAGAUUCUGGCUGGACCAAGCCCUUAACUUAAAUAAAACUAGAAAUAAAAUAAAAUACUUAGUGUUUUGGACAUGGAAACGUUCUUCCUUUCUCUUAUUCCCUAAAAGAUGUACCAUAGGAAAUGGUAUUCUAUUUGUCCAAAUUUAAAAUGUUACACUUCUGAUUGGUGCUACCUCCAAUAGAAACACUAAAAAUAAAAUAUUCAGAUCCAUUUCUUUUUACCAUAGACACAAGCCUCAGUGGCUUCAAAUCUUAAAUGUGUAUCAGCCAAACAAAUAACUGAUGUUAUUGGGCUGUCAACUGUUUAAAAUAUGAUUGUCUUUUAUUGCCACUACUUUGGCUGCCAAACUGAUCUUGAGAAUAUAAAACUAUUACCCCAGACACAAAAGUCCCACAAAGGCGUCAAGGCACAAACUACAACUUUCCAGUUCUUAGGCAUAAACUCUGGGAAUCACUUGUUUCCUAAUUCAAAGACAUUAAUUCAUACUCUAAAUUCUGAUCACAGCUAAAAACGUAAUGUUUCAGAGAGGUUAAAUGAAAUUAGCAUACCUCAGGUCACAUACCCUAGCUAUGGGCUUCUUUCACCAUUUGUCUCAACCUGUACUCUUGCCUUUGGCCACUGACAGUCACACUUUAGUUUGUGCCAUUUAUGUUUUCCCUUAGUUCCCUACCAUACUCUUCCCCCUUUAUUUUUUUCUUUCUUUCUCCAUCUCUUUCUCUCAUACUGAGGAAAAAAGAUUAAAGAUAGAGAAAAGUAUAGGGCAUUUUGAAAAAAGCAUCAUAGUAAUUUCUAAGCUGAUAAUAAAUUUAAGCAUAUAUUUUGCAAUGUUUAAUGCAUUCAUUUGUCAUUUAAUCAGCUGAUUUUAAUUGCUUUCAUUUUAUAUCUCUUCAUUCAUGACAGCUGUUCCUCAUCUGUUAAAAAUUGAAGCAAAAAAGGAAUAUUCAAUAUGUUGUAUUCUGCAAACUAAUUCUCCUUAUUCUUAAAUAUGAUAUAAAUAAUUAAAUCUCUUCCGUGACUCCAUUCUUUGAACCCAUAUGAAUAUACAUUUCUGUUUCAUGUGUGGCAGAAAUCCCUUUCAAAUCCCCACUACAAUCAUUAACACAUUUAAACAAAAAGGUUCUACAGUGUCCAGGAAAGAAACUAAAGAUCAUGUCUGAGUGUUGGAAUUGGCUCAGAGGAUCAUGCAAUCACAAAAAAGGACAUGAUUAAAUGGAUUCUAAGAUUGUUACCAGCACUACCAGUCUAUCUGCAUAUUAUUUUUUGUUGUCUACUUUUAAGACCAUCAAUAAUGCUAAUCAGGCUAAGAUGUGAAAUAUUCAUGUGGGCAAACAAUUACAAAAUGUGCAAUGCAAGUAUCCAAGUAUGUGUUAAUUGUCGUGUAUCCAUACCUCUCAACUUUCCAGGUAUUUACAGAAUGUGCAGAUUUUUCCUUCAUGUUUUUCGUCCGUUCCUCAUAUAAUUGAUAAUGAUAGUCAUUUGAAUUUCAGACUUUAUAUCAAUCAGAAAAUACAUGCUUACACAAAACUUUUUACUUUAGCAAUGUUCUAAGUUUAUGAGUAAUGUUUAAUGUUUCCCUAUUUUUGGGCCUUUGUUCCGAACCCCUUAUUUUUGGCUUUGUCCAGAUUUCUUGUGUUAAGCGGUUGAGAGGCAUACAUGUAUCUUUUCCACACAGACAUAAGAAGAAGGAAUUAACUAUACAGGAGAAAGAAAACAAAUAGAAAACUAUUAUUUUUGAUUACGUUGAAAAGUACUAACAUUCUGAAUAAAACUGGAUUUGAAUCAC